UACGGAGGGUGCAAGCGUUAUCCGGAUUCACUGGGUUUAAAGGGAGCGUAGGUGGGUUGGUAAGUCAGUGGUGAAAUCCCCGAGCUUAACUUGGGAACUGCCAUUGAUACUAUCAGUCUUGAAUACUGUGGAGGUUAGCGGAAUAUGUCAUGUAGCGGUGAAAUGCUUAGAUAUGACAUAGAACACCAAUGCGAAGGCAGCUGGCUACACAAUUAUUGACACUGAGGCUCGAAAGCGUGGGGAUCAAACAGG
rnacentral:rRNA from 1 species